GACGAACGCUGGCGGCGUGCUUAACACAUGCAAGUCGAACGGUAAGGCCCUUCGGGGUACACGAGUGGCGAACGGGUGAGUAACACGUGGGUGAUCUGCCCUGCACUUCGGGAUAAGCCUGGGAAACUGGGUCUAAUACCGGAUAGGACCACUGCCUGCAUGGGUGGUGGUGGAAAGCUUUUGCGGUGUGGGAUGGGCCCGCGGCCUAUCAGCUUGUUGGUGGGGUGAUGGCCUACCAAGGCGACGACGGGUAGCCGGCCUGGGAGGGUGACCGGCCACACUGGGACUGAGAUACGGCCCAGACUCCUGCGGGAGGCAGCAGUGGGGAAUAUUGCACAAUGGGCGCAAGCCUGAUGCAGCGACGCCGCGUGGGGGAUGACGGCCUUCGGGUUGUAAACCUCUUUCAGCACCGACGAAGCGCAAGUGACGGUAGGUGCAGAAGAAGGACCGGCCAACUACGUGCCAGCAGCCGCCGUAA
rnacentral:rRNA from 1 species